UGGGGAAUCUUGCGCAAUGGACGAAAGUCUGACGCAGCGACGCCGCGUGGGGGAUGAAGGCUUUCGGGUUGUAAACCCCUGUUGCCCGGGACGAACUUCUCCUUUCGAGGAGAUUGACGGUACCGGGUGAGGAAGCACCGGCUAACUCUGUGCCAGCAGCCGCGGUAAUACAGAGGGUGCGAGCGUUGUCCGGAAUCACUGGGCGUAAAGGGCGCGUAGGUGGCGACCCAAGUCGAUGGUGAAAGCUCGCCGCUCAACGGCGAGUCGGCCACCGAUACUGGGUUGCUGGAGCACUGUAGAGGCUCAUGGAAUUCCGGGUGUAGCGGUGGAAUGCGUAGAGAUCCGGAAGAACACCGGUGGCGAAGGCGGUGAGCUGGGCAGUUGCUGACACUGAGGCGCGACAGCGUGGGGAGCAAACA
rnacentral:rRNA from 1 species